UUACUGAGUUUACGCUCUACAACCCUUUGUGAACAUACCUACAACUGUUGCUUCGGCGGGUAGGGUCUCCGCGACCCUCCCGGCCUCCCGCCUCCGGGCGGGUCGGCGCCCGCCGGAGGAUAACCAAACUCUGAUUUAACGACGUUUCUUCUGAGUGGUACAAGCAAAUAAUCAAAACUUUUAACAACGGAUCUCUUGGUUCUGGCAUCGAUGAAGAACGCAGCGAAAUGCGAUAAGUAAUGUGAAUUGCAGAAUUCAGUGAAUCAUCGAAUCUUUGAACGCACAUUGCGCCCGCCAGCAUUCUGGCGGGCAUGCCUGUUCGAGCGUCAUUUCAACCCUCAAGCUCUGCUUGGUGUUGGGGCCCUACAGCCGAUGUAGGCCCUCAAAGGUAGUGGCGGACCCUCCCGGAGCCUCCUUUGCGUAGUAACUUUACGUCUCGCACUGGGAUCCGGAGGGACUCUUGCCGUAAAACCCCCCAAUUUUCCAAAGGUUGACCUCGGAUCAGGUAGGAAUACCCGCUGAACUUAAGCAUAUCAAUAAGCGGAGGAAAAGAAACCAACAGGGAUUGCCUCAGUAACGGCGAGUGAAGCGGCAACAGCUCAAAUUUGAAAUCUGGCCCCAGGCCCGAGUUGUAAUUUGCAGAGGAUGCUUUUGGUGCGGUGCCUUCCAAGUUCCCUAGAACGGGACGCCAGAGAGGGUGAGAGCCCCGUACAGUUGGACACCAAGCCUUUGUAAAGCUCCUUCGACGAGUCGAGUAGUUUGGGAAUGCUGCUCAAAAUGGGAGGUAUAUUUCUUCUAAAGCUAAAUACCGGCCAGAGACCGAUAGCGCACAAGUAGAGUGAUCGAAAGAUGAAAAGCACUUUGAAAAGAGGGUUAAACAGCACGUGAAAUUGUUAAAAGGGAAGCGCUUGUGACCAGACUUGCGUCCGGUGAAUCACCCAGCUCUCGCGGCUGGGGCACUUCGCCGGCUCAGGCCAGCAUCAGCUCGCUGUCGGGGACAAAAGCUUCAGGAACGUAGCUCUCUUCGGGGAGUGUUAUAGCCUGUUGCACAAUACCCUUCGGCGGGCUGAGGUACGC
rnacentral:misc_RNA from 1 species